AGGUGCGAUCAUACCAACGUUAAUGCACGGGUCCCAUUAAAACUCCGUAGUUAAGCAUGAUUGGGCUAGAGUAGUACUGGAAUGGGUGACCUCCCGGGAAGUCCUAUUGUCGCACCCU
rfam:Picea glauca, whole genome shotgun sequence.